rnacentral:lncRNA from 1 species
GUAAACCCAAUAGGCAGACCGAAUUGAGGCAAGGCGAUUCCUAAGCAAACUGCAUACCAAAAUACAAAGCCAAACAGAGAAUCAGGAGCAAUCAUAAGAGGCACCGACCUCGGGAAUUGACCGCUCACACUAAACCAACUCAGCUGGCCUAGAGAAAGGUCCAGGCAACAAAGAGCCCGCAAAACGCUCGAGAGAAGACAACCCAUAAAUACUCAGGGGCAAAAAACAUACACGAGAGUCCAACGCUCAGACAAAAAUAAUAAAAAGGCAAGAAAUGGAUACUUUCGACAAGAGCAGUUCUCAGACCGCACGGUCAUGAAUAGAGUUUAAAGAUUUAUCCCCUCACCAGUCAUGGAAUAACUGCUGAGGAGAUAAAGGGGCAAUUGAUGAUCGCUGGAUUUCUUCACCCCGGUCUAAAUGCCAGGCCCAUGAAAACGGUCCAUGAUCCGAAGGCUUCAAUAUUCCCCUCGAGAGCCAGGUCCAGCCCGCUCAGUCACAGGGCCGGACUCCGCCUAGACUCCUCAAUCAAGCCGGCCCAAACCUCUCGGCCCAGUAAUCAGGCCCUCACCAGGCUCAACUUCAGCCCUACCAUUCAACCCAGCUCGGAAAGGGGAAAAUGACCAAGAUGCCCCGCUGGUAGGUCCUUCCGCAUGCGUAUCAGAGGAGAAUCAUGCGUAUCAGAGGAGAAUUAAUGGCCGUUACGCAUGGAGCAGGCGCCUGACACAUCCGUACAUACGGAGCUAGGCGGCAGAAGACAGCUAGCAUUGUGGCAGAGAGACAGAUAUAUAUAUCACGGUAGAGGCCACGCAGAGGGGGUUCUCUCUUCUUUUUCCUUCUCCUUUCUGGAUACCAUUUUUAUUCUUUCUGCAACUCUUGCCUAAAUAUACCAUCUGAGCCAUAAAAUCUGACUUGAGCAUCGGAGGGCCUCUGCCGGGGCACACCCGGUAGACCCCUGACCGUUCUUUCUUAUUUUACAGGUCCCUUCACCAGGAAGAACAUGGAGAGAUCCACCAGAGAGCCCAGCAAGAAGGGACCCAGAAGAAAACCAGAUCUAUCAUGGACCAGGAAGAGGAAAAUAUUUAUCAGACACCAUUCGAGAUAGAGACCCAACCCAGUACAUGCCUUACUGUUCUGUGAGGCGGGUGGAGCAAGUUCAGAGAAAAAUAACUAAUUCUAUGAGGCGUGUUUGGAAUAAAUAAUAACUUUCCAAGGCGUGUUUGGUUUAUCUUAUAGAGUUCUACUAGGAGUUCCCUUUUUAUUUUGAGGACGUUUCAUCUAUGAAGAAGUUGGAAUCCUAAUUACUGUGGGACUUUCCGUCGUCGUAUCGUUGUCCAGGAGUUUCAGUUUACUAGGGACCGAAACCUUGGGUUUCGGCACUUUGGAAGCCGAAAACCAUGAGUCACGGCCCUUGGGGUUUCAAUCCCUUAGGGCCAUUGGAAGGCGGAUCAUGAGUGCCUCAACCAAGAUCCACCUCAUAGAACACCCUCUUUCCAUAGCUCCAGCCAAGAGAUAGUUGUUCUCAAUGGAUACUUAGCUCUGCAAGAGAGCAUCAAAGGAGGAGAUAGGCUAAACUAGAGGCGCCAAAGAAGGGUCCAGCUGG